UUAAUUGAAGAGUUUGAUCAUGGCUCAGAUUGAACGCUGGCGGCAGGCCUAACACAUGCAAGUCGAGCGGUAACACAGGAGAGCUUGCUCUCUGGGUGACGAGCGGCGGACGGGUGAGUAAUGUCUGGGAAACUGCCUGAUGGAGGGGGAUAACUACUGGAAACGGUAGCUAAUACCGCAUGACCUCGCAAGAGCAAAGUGGGGGACCUUCGGGCCUCACGCCAUCGGAUGUGCCCAGAUGGGAUUAGCUAGUAGGUGAGGUAAUGGCUCACCUAGGCGACGAUCCCUAGCUGGUC
rnacentral:rRNA from 1 species